GGGCCUGUAGCUCAGGUGGUUAGAGCGCACGCCUGAUAAGCGUGAGGUCGGUGGUUCAAGUCCACCCAGGCCCA
rnacentral:tRNA from 3 species